ACGUCGUUGGUUUAGUGGUAAAAUUCGUCCCUGCCACGGACGAGGCCCGGGUUCGAUUCCCGGACGACGUA
rnacentral:tRNA from 1 species